rfam:Triticum aestivum genome assembly, contig: Triticum_aestivum_CS42_TGACv1_scaffold_097634_2AL
CUUAUACUCCCUCCGUCCGAAAAUACUUGUUAUCAAAAUUGAUAAAAGAUUAUGUAUCUAGAACUAAAAUACAUCUAGAUACGUCCCCUUUUGUUCAUUUUGAUGACAAGUAUUUCCGGACGGAGGGAGUAUUUA